GUGUGUGUGUGUUUGUAGGCAACAUAAUUGGGUGUUUGUACAUUUUGAAAAUCUCUGCAUAUUAAUUGGGUUACUUAUGCCAUUUACAUUUAGUGAUAAAUUUAAACCUAACCAUAUGGAUAGUUAUCAUCUCCCUGUUUUUUUUUUUUGUCCUCAUCUUUUUUCUACCACCUUUGCAUUUGUUGACUUUAUUGUUCCAUUUAUCCCUUGCUUGGCUUACUAGCUAUAGUCAUAGCUAGUUUAGUUUAGUUUAGUACUUGCUAUAGGAUUUAUUAUAGAUACCUGUAACUUACCAUAGUUGUCUCUUAAAUGAUGUUAUACCAAUUUGGAAAAAGUAUAUGCACUAAAGUGUGCUCCCAUUCCCCACCAUAUGCCGUUUUUCUCACAUUUUACAUGUUAAAAAUACCACACAACAUUGUUAUUUUUUGAGAUUUAAGCCCUUAUAAAAACUGUUAUGCCUAUGUAGUUACCAUUUAUUGCUCCUAAGUUCUUUGUAGAUUCAGAUAAUGUCAUUUUCCUUCUCUCUGAAGGACUUUUCCAGAAUGGCCACAUGGUUUCACAUUCCCAUGAGCAGUGUCUCUAUCACUAUCAUCUUGAUUAUUCUAGUGAUUGGAAAGUGGUAUAUUAUGUGGCUUUGAUUUUUAUUUGAUAUAAAAGCAUCUUUGUGCAUGUAUUGGCCAUUUGUAGAAACCAGUGUUCAGACUCCUUACCCGUUUUAAAAUUGGGUCUGUCUUACUGAGUUGUAAUAGUCCUGUGUGGAAGGCCGUCACAUCACGUGACCAGUGUUUUCCCCUCCUGAUUGGUUGAGGCACUGUCAAUCACCAUUCCCCCCCCCCCAUGAUCUGGCUACUCUUAAGUUGCUGAAGUCGGUAGCCCCAAUCUUGAGCGUAGAAAUAAUGCAACCAACUGUGUCUUCAUGCGUAGGCGUGCCUUCUGCAGCCCCAUGGAUUGAGCGACGCUUACCUGUUCCUUUGUGAUAUUACCCCUUGCCCUGUUUGGGAUAGAAUGCCCCUUGUGUGUCCCCUUCUCUUACUCUGCCCUUGGGUGUGGCCUUCCUAGAUGUCAGUCAACCUGCUGACAGUGGACAUCAUGAAGCUAGACUCGGCCCCCUGAAACCUGACCCCUUGCCCCAUUUGAAUGGUUUCUCCCAAUAAAAGGGGUCAGCGCGUGCUCGCUUGCUCUUUCUGUGGAACCUUAAGGUCAGAGGAGCCGUCACAGGACCCCCAAAGAAAAAGGUAUCUGUGUCUUGUGUGGUUAUUUCGUGCAGCCCUGCUCCCCUGGAGUGACCCCUGAGUGUUUUUUGUCGCCGGGAACGCGGCAGUCCUGUGUAUGUUUUAG
rnacentral:lncRNA from 1 species